GUAAGCAGCCAUAUCGCCCUGCAACUCACAACUGGCAACCCACUGAAGCUAAGCAGGUGUGAGCCUGGUCAGUACCUGGAUGGGAGACCUCCUGGGAAAAACUAAGGUUGCUGCUGGAC
ensembl:rRNA 5S_rRNA 5S ribosomal RNA